AGUGAACGCUGGCGGUAGGCCUAACACAUGCAAGUCGAACGGCAGCACAGUAAGAGCUUGCUCUUACGGGUGGCGAGUGGCGGACGGGUGAGGAAUACAUCGGAAUCUACUUUUUCGUGGGGGAUAACGUAGGGAAACUUACGCUAAUACCGCAUACGACCUACGGGUGAAAGCAGGGGAUCUUCGGACCUUGCGCGAUUGAAUGAGCCGAUGUCGGAUUAGCUAGUUGGCGGGGUAAAUGCCCACCAAGGCGACGAUCCGUAGCUGGUCUGAGAGGAUGAUCAGCCACACUGGAACUGAGACACGGUCCAGACUCCUACGGGAGGCAGCAGUGGGGUAUAUUGGACAAUAGGCGCAAGCCUGAUCCAGCCAUACCGCGUGUGUGAAGAAGGCCUUCGGGUUGUAAAGCCCUUUUGUUGGGAGAGAAAAGCAGCAGGUUAAUACCCCGCUGUUCUGACGGUACCCAAAGAAUAAGCACCGGCUAACUUCGUG
rnacentral:rRNA from 1 species